rnacentral:rRNA from 1 species
GAACGCUGGCGGCGUGCUUAACACAUGCAAGUCGCGCGUGAAAGUCCUUCGGGAGUGAGUAAAGCGGCGCACGGGUGAGUAACGCGCGGAUGAUCUACCCAUGAGUUGGGAAUAACGGUUGGAAACGAUCGCUAAUACCCGGUACGUUCCGAUUUCAACUUCGGGAGAAAGGGGGGCCUCUGCUUGCAAGCUUCUGCUCAUGGAUGAGUCCGCGUCCCAUUAGCUAGUUGGUGAGGUAACGGCUCACCAAGGCAUCGAUGGGUAGCCGGUCUGAGAGGAUGACCGGCCACACUGGGACUGGAACACGGCCCAGACUCCUACGGGAGGCAGCAGUGGGGAAUAUUGCGCAAUGGGCGAAAGCCUGACGCAGCGACGCCGCGUGAGGGAUGAAGGUCUUCGGAUCGUAAACCUCUGUCAAGAGGGAAGAAACGUCAGGGUGCUAAUCAGCCCUGAUCUGACGGUACCUCUAAAGGAAGCACCGGCUAACUCCGUGCCAGCCGCGGC